GACAGAGGAUGCAAGCGUUAUCCGGAAUGAUUGGGCGUAAAGCGUCUGUAGGUGGCUUUUCAAGUCCGCCGUCAAAUCCCAGGGCUCAACCCUGGACAGGCGGUGGAAACUACCAAGCUGGAGUACGGUAGGGGCAGAGGGAAUUUCCGGUGGAGCGGUGAAAUGCAUUGAGAUCGGGCAGAACACCAGUGGCGAAGGCGGCCGGCUGGGCCGACCCUGACGCUGAGGCGCGAAAGCCAGGGGAGCGAACGGA
rnacentral:rRNA from 1 species